CCUACGGGAGGCAGCAGCUAAGAAUAUUCCGCAAUGGAGGAAACUCUGACGGAGCGACGCCGCGUGAACGAUGAAGGCCGGAAGGUUGUAAAGUCCUUUUAGAUAUGAGGAAUAAGUAAGGUGAGAGAACGCCUUAUGGUGACUGUAGUAUCAGAAUAAGGGGCGGCUAAUUACGUGCCAGCAGCCGCGGUAAU
rnacentral:rRNA from 1 species